AUUGAACGCUGGCGGCAGGCCUAACACAUGCAAGUCGAGCGGAUGAAGGGAGCUUGCUCCUGGAUUCAGCGGCGGACGGGUGAGUAAUGCCUAGGAAUCUGCCUGGUAUUGGGGGAUAACGUCCGGAAACGGGCGCUAAUACCGCAUACGUCCUGAGGGAGAAAGUGGGGGAUCUUCGGACCUCACUCUAUCAGAUGAGCCUAGGUCGGAUUAGCUAGUUGGUGGGGUAAAGGCCUACCAAGGCGACGAUCCGUAACUGGUCUGAGAGGAUGAUCAGUCACAAUGGAACUGAGACACGGUCCAGACUCCUAAGGGAGGCAGCAGUGGGGAAUAUUGGACAAUGGGCGAAAGCCUGAUCCAGCCAUGCCGCGUGUGUGAAGAAGGUCUUCGGAUUGUAAAGCACUUUAAGUUGGGAGGAAGGGCAGUAAGUUAAUACCUUGCUGUUUUGACGUUACCAACAGAAUAAGCACCGGCUAACUUCGUG
rnacentral:rRNA from 1 species